AAGUACCACUCGUAAACUCCGGUUCUGAGCGCGCCGUCCGCACCCACCUGACGACCGCUCGCCACGUUUUGUUGGCC
rnacentral:sRNA from 1 species